AUGUCAUUAACUCAUAUAUUCAUUUACCAGAUGCGAACUAUGCAAAAAAAACUAUACAACAAAAUUACCAUUCAUCACUAGUUCCUUCCUGUUCCAAAAACGAAAUCAUGUACUCAUCAAUGUGCCCCACAGUCUCAUCCAAGUCUUCCUCUAACUCACUUCUAUCUUCAUCCAUGUCAUUCGUGUUUGAUUGUUCCUCUGUUGAGUCUCUUUCAAAACCAGGGGUUGCACUAUCAGACGAUAGAGGAGUAGAGUCUUUGGUUAACAUAGCUUGAGGAGUAGAUGUUUCACUGAACUCGGUUUGUUCAAGAGCACUUUCUUUUCGGGCCACUUGAGCAGCUUGGACGUCUUCUUCAUCUUCAGCAGCGGCUAAUGCUACUUCCCAGUUUUCCUCGUUUUUUGUAGAACCAGAAUCAGAAUCAGCUUUGACUUUCUUGAGUGAUUCGUCAUCCAGAUCAAAUAGAUCAAGUACAUCAGCUUUACGGAACCAUUCAGUAGUAAAUUCUCCACCCUGGAUGACUAUUUUAUCCAGCAUUCGUUUUUGGUUGGCCCGACGCAACAUAUUAGAUUCAACCGUAUAUUCACUAAUCAAACGAUAAAUGUGCACAUCACGGGUCUGCCCAAUUCUGUGUGAUCUAUCUUGAGCUUGCGCAUCCAAUUGUGGAUUCCAAUCCGAGUCAUAAAAAAUUACAGUGUCAGCGCCAGUUAAGUUUAUACCUAAACCACCACUUCUCGUUGAAAGUAUAAAAACUGGAAUCUUAUCGUCAUUGUUAAACCGUUCAGUUAGUAUUUGUCUUUGCUCUAUCUUGGUAGCUCCGUCAAGACGUAAAUAGCGAUGUCCGUGAAUAUUAAGGAAUUGUUC